UGCAUCGGCCGGGAAUCGAACCCGGGAGGCCCGCGUGGGAAGCGAGCAUUCUACCACUGAACCACCGAUGG
rnacentral:tRNA from 1 species